UGUUCUGUGGCAUAGUUGGUUGAAGCACCGGUCAAGCGAAUGCGGAGUCGUGGGUUCAAAUCCCACCAGAGCAC
rnacentral:tRNA from 1 species